GGUGAUAUAUUUUAAAGAAAAUACUACUUUGCAAAAGUGGAGUUACUUCCAAGUUAUCACUU
rnacentral:tRNA from 1 species